rnacentral:rRNA from 1 species
GACGUACUGCGCGAACGUUAUUCGGAAUCACUGGGCUUACAGGGUGCGUAGGCGGCUAUUCAGGUCAGGUGUGAAAGCCCCCGGCUCAACCGGGGAACUGCGCUUGAAACCGAGUGGCUCGAGUCAGCUAGAGGUACACGGAACUUCCAGUGGAGCGGUGAAAUGUGUUGAUAUUGGAAGGAACACCGGAGGCGAAAGCGGUGUACUGGGGCUGGUCUGACGCUGAGGCACGAAAGCCAGGGGAGCGAACGGG